rnacentral:rRNA from 1 species
GACGAACGCUGCGGCGUGCCUAAUACAUGCAAGUAGAACGCACAGGAUGCACCGUAGUUUACUACACCGUAUUCUGUGAGUUGCGAACGGGUGAGUAACGCGUAGGUAACCUGCCUGGUAGCGGGGGAUAACUAUUGGAAACGAUAGCUAAUACCGCAUAAGAACAUUUACUGCAUGGUAGAUGUUUAAAAGGUGCAAAUGCAUCACUACCAGAUGGACCUGCGUUGUAUUAGCUAGUAGGUGAGGUAACGGCUCACCUAGGCGACGAUACAUAGCCGACCUGAGAGGGUGAUCGGCCACACUGGGACUGAGACACGGCCCAGACUCCUACGGGAGGCAGCAGUAGGGAAUCUUUGGCAAUGGGGGGAACCCUGACCGAGCAACGCCGCGUGAGUGAAGAAGGUUUUCGGAUCGUAAAGCUCUGUUGUUAAGGAAGAACGAGUGUGAGAAUGGAAAGUUCAUACUGUGACGGUACUUAACCAGAAAGGGACGGCUAA